ACUGCUACGACCUCCUCCGAUCAGGAAGAAACGAAAGUGGCAUCUACCACAAUUUAUCCUCAAACAUGUGGAAUUCCGGGUGAAGGGGUCUCCGUCUGGUGUGACAUGGGCGAGAAAGAGGUCGACGAAGGCGGAUGGACUGUGUCCUUCUUCGGCGACCUCUCAGUACCCAGGUGAACUUCAACAGAGGAUGGCGCGAUACAGAAUUGGAUUUGGCAGUCCAGACACUGAAUACUGGAUAGGUAACGACGUGCUCCACGCCCUCACGAACGGAGCACCCCAAGUGCUCCGGGUGGACAUGACCGACUGGGACGGGCAGUCCCGGUACCAAGAGUACAGCUCCUUCCACGUCGCCGACAGAGAUCACGAGUACAGCCUCCGACUGGGGACGGGAUCCGGGACUGCUGGGGAUGCCCUCAAAGAUCAUGAUAACAUGCUCUUCUCCACUCCCGACAGAGAAAUAACGAUACU